rnacentral:rRNA from 1 species
GAUGAACGCUGGCGGCGUGCCUAAUACAUGCAAGUCGAGCGAACAGACGAGGCGCUUGCUCCUCUGACGUUAGCGGCGGACGGGUGAGUAACACGUGGAUAACCUACCUAUAAGACUGGGAUAACUUCGGGAAACCGGAGCUAAUACCGGAUAAUAUAUUGAACCGCAUGGUUCAAUAGUGAAAGACGGUUUUGCUGUCACUUAUAGAUGGAUCCGCGCCGCAUUAGCUAGUUGGUAAGGUAACGGCUUACCAAGGCGACGAUGCGUAGCCGACCUGAGAGGGUGAUCGGCCACACUGGAACUGAGACACGGUCCAGACGCCUACGGGAGGCAGCAGUAGGGAAUCUUCCGCAAUGGGCGAAAGCCUGACGGAGCAACGCCGCGUGAGUGAUGAAGGUCUUCGGAUCGUAAAACUCUGUUAUUAGGGAAGAACAAAUGUGUAAGUAACUAUGCACGUCUUGACGGUACCUAAUCAGAAAGCCACGGCUAACUACGUG